UGGGGAAUCUUGCGCAAUGGGCGAAAGCCUGACGCAGCAACGCCGCGUGGGGGAUGAAGGCUCUCGGGUUGUAAACCCCUUUCAGCAGGGACGAAAUUGACGGUACCUGAAGAAGAAGCCCCGGCCAACUACGUGCCAGCAGCCGCGGUGACACGUAGGGGGCGAGCGUUGUCCGGAAUUAUUGGGCGUAAAGAGCUCGUAGGCGGUUUAGUAAGUCAGAUGUGAAAGGUUGGGGCUCAACCCUAAGACUGCAUCCGAUACUGCUAUGACUAGAGUCCGGUAGAGGAGUGUGGAAUUCCUGGUGUAGCGGUGAAAUGCGCAGAUAUCAGGAGGAACACCGACGGCGAAGGCAGCACUCUGGGCCGGUACUGACGCUCAGGAGCGAAAGCGUGGGUAGCAAACAGGAUUAGAUACCCCCGUAGUCC
rnacentral:rRNA from 1 species